rnacentral:rRNA from 1 species
CACGUAGUUAGCCGGUGCUUAUUCUUACGGUACCGUCAUGACUCCAGGGUAUUAACCCAAAAGCUUUUCGUUCCGUACAAAAGCAGUUUACAACCCGAAGGCCUUCAUCCUGCACGCGGCAUUGCUGGAUCAGGCUUUCGCCCAUUGUCCAAAAUUCCCCACUGCUGCCUCCCGUAGGAGUCUGGGCCGUGUCUCAGUCCCAGUGUGGCUGAUCGUCCUCUCAGACCAGCUACAGAUCGUCGGCUUGGUAAGCUUUUAUCCCACCAACUACCUAAUCUGCCAAUCAGCCGCUCUAGUAGCAACAAGGUCUUGCGAUCCCCUGCUUUCAUCCGUAGAUCUCAUGCGGUAUUAGCUACUCUUUCGAGUAGUUACUCCCCCAUACUAGGCACGUUCCGAUCGUAUUACUCCACCCGUUCGCCACUCGUCAGCAUCCGAAGUACCCUGUUACCGUUCGUACUUGC